rnacentral:rRNA from 1 species
GACGAACGCUGGCGGCGUGCUUAACACAUGCAAGUCGAACGGAAAGGCCCUGCUUUUGUGGGGUGCUCGAGUGGCGAACGGGUGAGUAACACGUGAGUAACCUGCCCUUGACUUUGGGAUAACUUCAGGAAACUGGGGCUAAUACCGGAUAGGAUCUCCUGCUGUAUGGUGGGGGUUGGAAAGUUUCGGCGGUUGGGGAUGGACUCGCGGCUUAUCAGCUUGUUGGUGGGGUAGUGGCUUACCAAGGCUUUGACGGGUAGCCGGCCUGAGAGGGUGACCGGCCACAUUGGGACUGAGAUACGGCCCAGACUCCUACGGGAGGCAGCAGUGGGGAAUAUUGCACAAUGGGAGGAAGCCUGAUGCAGCAACGCCGCGUGCGGGAUGACGGCCUUCGGGUUGUAAACCGCUUUCGCCUGUGACGAAGCGUGAGUGACGGUAAUGGGUAAAGAAGCACCGGCUAACUACGUG